ensembl:lncRNA
GUGAUGUAGUUACGCCACUGGCUCCAGGUAUAUGGAGGUGAUUUAGUUACGCCACUGGCUCCAGGUAUAUGGAGGUGAUGUAGUUAUGCCACUGGAUCCAGGUAUAUGGAGGUGAUUUAGUUACGCCACUGGCUCCAGGUAUAUGGAGGUGAUGUAGUUAUGCCACUGGAUCCAGGUAUAUGGAGGUGAUGUAGUUACGCCACUGGCUCCAGGUAUAUGGAGGUGAUGUUGUUACGCAGAGAUGGGGACAAGUCACACAUGAUCAAGUCCAAGCAAGUCUCAAGUCUUCACCAUCAAGUCUCGAGUCAAGUCUCAAGUCACAGUUCAGAUAAAUCAAGCAAGUCAAGUCAAGUCAAGGGUUCACCUUAAGCAAGUCAAGUCGAGUCCUUAUAAGUUUCAAGUCAAGUCACAGUACUAAAGAGAUGAACACACACACACACUGUCCUCUGUUUCUGACGUGCGCUCGGUGCGAAGCUCGAUUUCAAAAUCAAAUAUUUUUCUCCUCCGCGGUACAAUUUUUUGGGGGGACGAAGCGGAGGGAUCUUCAAUCUGCCUGAAGGGGUUGUAUUCGCUAUAACAACUACCUCGCUAUACCUUAUCCCGCGUAUUACAUGGCUACCUACCAAAUAAAUCAAUAAUUUGACACAAAAUAUUGAUUUCAAAAGGAAUUUAUUGAUUUGAAAACGAUUGUAUUGCUUCCUCUAAAGAAAAGAGUCCGUUCCAUCUCUGGUUAGAACCCUGCUGCGUCCAUAGCAACGCGCUGUUUUUCAUGGCAACGGUCUGUUAUCAAGAAAUAACACGCAUUCUGCACUGGAAUUCAGCCAAUCCAUGUAAUAAGGGCUAAUAAUAACCUUAUAAACUAAUUAUUGUGACUGAAAAACUGCCUAAUAUGUAAUUACGCUGUAAUUAUUCUUGUCUGUAUGAGUAAAAAAAAAAAACUCUUCGAAAUGUUUAGGUGCUAGUAAUCACAUCGGCGCCUCCAUGUUAGCCUUUCAUGCAGUAAAGUUAUGGUGUAAGCACAAUGCUUUUUAGUUUCCACACGCAGUCCACAAACACUUGAAAAUGCGCACAUUUAAUACAGACAUUAUAGCCUACGUCUAAUAAUAUACAAG